UGCUGAGGGAGAUGGAGAGAGGAUUCGGCAGGUUUAUAGGAUUGUUUGUUAUUUGUUGUUUCUGAUAUCAGAUGUAAAAGGCUAUAUAUAUAUAAUAGCCAUGACUCUCUUCUCUAUAUCACGUAUUCUUUCCUGAUAGAGAUAUGGUGAAGAGUGACCGUGAGUGAAGCAAAAGUUGGCAUAAAUUCUCGACCUCUCUCUGCGCUUCUCCUCGUCCCCGAAGCUUCUGGUGUUUUGCUUCGUAAUUCAAUGGUGGUCCCUGAUUGAUCGGUCUAUGAAGAAGUGGAGCGUGCUUUGGCGAAAUUGGGGCAUGGUAAAUUCAAUGAAAGGUAUUCUUCCAAGCACAUAGCUGUUAUCGGGAUAGUUGUAUUGACUCCCUUGCAGCUGCAUUUCGUGAUGUCUUGAAGGAAUGGAAGACAUUAAAAAACAAAGCACAUGACUACUGAGAUUGAAGUAUGUUUUGUUUCCCCUGCUCUCAAAAUUUACUGAAAUGAUAUACUCAAAUAUGAUCGUAAGAUAUGUCAUUUUCUCUGAUUCAGUGUGUUGAGUGUGAGCUACCAACAUUUAGUGCUAGUUAUAGAA